rnacentral:lncRNA from 1 species
UGCUCCUUCUGGGAUUUGAGUCUCCCACGUGAAUUAUCUGUGUACAAACCUUUGAUCUAAGUGACUGAAAGUAUUUCUAAGGGAAUGAAUGCGAUCACAGGAUCUGCCUGGCGAUAGUUGUCAGCACUGCACCUUUCAGGCUGGGUUUCUUGACUUGUAUGAAUAGUUUAGAAGGCUGUUUCUUUGUUGCUGUUCAUUUUGCAUUAGGACCAACUUUUAUUUUGCUUUCUUUUUAAAAGGGGGUUCUUUCAAAUGAUUAAAAAACCAAAACCAAAACCAGAACCAAAAAAACCUCUCAGGGGUAAGAAUGGGAAACACUACUACUUUGGAUAAAACUCACAUUUAAACAUGUGCUCUGUGAUACAUCAAUUUUAAGAAUUUUUUUUCCGGAGUAUUGGAUGCAUAUGUUCACAGAGAAACUGGUGUGAGAAUAUUCACUGUAAGCAUAUUCAUAAUGUUCUCAAAUGGGAGACCAUGUGAUUGUCAACCGGGAAGGAUAAAUUUGAUAUUUGUGCAAAAUGGAACACCACUCAGCAAUAAAAGGAGAAAACAAACAAAACAUAUACAACACGAAUAAAUUUAAAACUGGUUAUGAUGAUGGAUGCCCUGGCCAUGGCGGCUCACACUUGUAGUCAUGGAUACCCAGGAAGCUAAGGCAGAAAAAUCUUGAAUUUAAGUCUCUCUGCCUCAAAAAGAAAAAAGAAAGCCAAUUGAGGUAGCACUCACUUUGAUCUUAGUACUUGGGAGUCAGUGGCAGGAGGAUCUCUGUGAGUUCAAGGCCAGUCUGGUCUACAGAGCCAAUUCCAGGUCAUCCAAGGCUACAUAUUGAGACUCUGUCUCCAAAACCAAAAGAAACAAAAAAACACUGCACCCUAUCCCCAGCAAAACCCAUAGCCAGGUUUGGUGGUGAAGGUUUAUAAUAUGGAGUUGGAUGGAUGAGCUAGGAGAAUUACUGAGUUCUUGGUCAGUUGGGCUACAGCUUAAGUUCAAGACCAGCCUGAGCCAUGGGCUGACAUCUUGUCUCAGAGCAAAACAAAACAUAAAAAAAUAUGUGAAAGAUGCCAAGCAUAGAAGAAUACAUAUGGGAAGAUUCCAUUUAUUUGGUCAAGAGCAGGUGAAACUAACCUGUCAUCAAUAAUCACUGAUCAAAAGAAUGGUUUCUUUACAUGAAGAAUUUCUUAGAAUAGUGGAAGCAGUUUAUAUCUUGAUCUGGGUAGUGGCUAUCUAGGGAUAUGUAUAUGCAUUAAAAAUUCCUCAAGUUACCCAGUUAAGUUGUGUACUUUGUGAACACUGCACAUAUAUUCCUAAUUAUAAUACAGUAUUGUAUACUUUGUGUCAGAGACAGUUCUAAUUAUGAUGUUUCUCAUUUGGAUAAGGGUGCCCGUUUUCAUGAUCUGUUGUUAGAUGAGCAGCUUAAGAUCAUAAAUACUGUCUCAUGUUUCUGUCCUUAUCAUGAAGGACUCGCUAUACAGCUGUGUGAGUGUUCUUACAAUAUGGUGGCCAGCUUUCGCCAGAACAGGUGGUCUGAGAGCAAUGCAGUGACCACUGUGCCCUGAUUUCGUGAAGUCUUUCACUUUCUUCAUAUUGUGACACUAAAUGGAACCAACCACAUUC